GAACAUAAAGUGGCUAAGUUGACAUUACCUGCCAGAAAACUUCCAAUCUCAUACAUCCACCACUCAGCACAUAACAUGACCAUGCUGGGGAUGGCCAAGUGAAUGAAUGAGCUCCAGUCCUGCAGACACUCUUUAGACCAACCUGUGUUGGCAAUCAGUGAAUCAAUAAAUCAUUCAACUAUCAACUAUGUUUCAUUGAUGCUAAUACAGUGUAAGAUGGACAAUAAUUUAUAGGUCAUUCCAGUAAUGGAAUGUCUUCAACUGUCUGACAUUUACACCACCCACAGUUUCUGAGUGCAACACCACUGUGAAAAAAUAAAAAUCCUUGGUCUGUAACAAUUUGCCAGACUUAAUGUAGGUGCUAACUACAAAUAAAAGUCAAUACAUCAUCACAAUGUUAUAUUUUGAAAACUGUGUUGAAUUAAACAUGUAUAUGAGGCUGUGAUCCUGCACUCUCACUGAAGUUACAUAGUGCAUUGAGCCUCUUAUUUUAGGUUAAAAAGUUACAUAAUGUUGAUUUAAACCAAAAGCGUCCCUCUCUGACUUUUCGCUGUACCUCAUUAACAAAUGGGAACAUUUGGAGACUUAUUAUAUAGUAUGCAGGGUCACUAUCUUCAAAUGCAAAUGUUGUCCUCACCUCCCCAGGUGGCCUUAUGAAGACCUUUCCAAAGGAUAUAAGCAUAGAGAAGUCCUGCCAUGCAGAACUGGGAAAGGGCAUUGGAUGCUGCAGAACCUCUGUAAAGAAAAUAGGUGCAGUGAGGGGCUGGAUGGAGUUUCACACCACCAGGGCUGUGGACGCACACCUGUGGCUUAAAAGCCGUAAUCUUCACUCUACCUGCUGCCAGAUGAUUUUGCUGCAUGGACAUGCAUUCACUUGUGUUCCCAGCCACCAGUGGCUUCGCAGCCAGGCUCUCUGCAUGUCAACCGUCAGCUGGCACCCUCGCAUCGAGCUCUACCCAAGCCUCCAAACGCCACCUUGUCCACCAGCACCACAGUGAGCAACCUCUCCCCUCUCCAACAGACUCACCAACCGGAGUUUUGCUACACCUUGCCCCUGCAUUUCCCAGUGUUGAAAACUCAAUAAAUCAGCAGAAUCAUCUGGCCCUAAAUAUGGACCCAAAUGCUCCGGGAGAUGACAGACUCAAUCCAGAGUAUCGGUUACACCAUCUCCCAGCUCAGCCACAAGUUUAACCAGUCCACAGCCCAGUCACCUGCAACUCCCUCUGCCACAGCCCCAACUGUGAGUAAUCCCACUGCUACAAACUCGGCCCAACCGCGCUCCCCCCCAACCAGGGAACCUUUUGUUUCACCAACAUUAUUCUGGUGACUUGUUUUUGCAGCAGUUUUUUUAUAACAGCCUUAUGCCUCUGAUAGGUCCAGCAUAGCCGACAGUAUGACGAUAGAAUAUUCAAUAGAUUUCUGUAUCUUGGCAGCUGAGAGUGGCUGGAACGAGCAAGAACUUGUAAGGCUUUAAAGGAGAGGGUUACUGGAGAGUCUACAAGACAAAUCAGCUUCCCAGGAAGCUCAUCUCCCAAGUUAUUUGCCUGGAUAACCAUCUUAGGGAGAGACAGAGAGAGACGGCUUCUACCAGCCAUAGACAUGCUAGCUUCACCCCCAGCCAGAUAUCCCAAUCUCUGCCAGCGCCCCAGAGCGUCUCACACUCUCCCAGGAUCCCCUGAGCUCCGCCUACUGCCCUGGGGAGCCUUUGCAGGGAUCAUCAUGCGGAUCCGCCUUAUAACAAAACAUUCACUCCAUGAAGAAGGAGGGAGAUGUGAGCCCUGUCCGCUGCCCUCCAUGAUUCAACUGGAACACUUCCUGCUCUGCUCGGUGCACCGCUGUAUGCAGCUGUCAGGGAGGCUUCGGAUCGGUCCAGGAUCUCAGCCUGUGUGAGGAGGAGGAGGAGGAGGAGGAGGAGGAGGAGGGAGGAGACACCUGAGGGAGUCAGAGAGAGCCACGCUGACGUCGCCUGCUCACAGACAGAGUGAUGGAUGGACGUCCGUACUGACAGUGAAACCAAACUACUGGCACUGCAGUAUUAUUAUGUUGCUGUACAGUUGUUGUUGUUUUUUGUUGUUGUUGUUGUUUUUUUUUAGAAAGGUUGUGCUUUCUUGAAGUGGUAAAAUAUGGAUACGCCAACGAAGAAAUAAAUUAAGUUUUUUUUUUAAUUUUCAUCCCUGAAUUGUUCGAUUAUAAUUAAAUGGUUGAAUGAUAAUAUAAUUGUAUAAAAAUUGUGUGGUUUUUAGGACUCCCUGGGUCUCCAGUCAGAAUUUGCAUCCGCAAAUAUGCUGUCAAGUAAAUGUAAAUAAAGGAUUUGCAUUGACACAGGUGCAAUCCCAAAGACAAACACUGAAACUGUAACUGAAAACUAAGGGUUGUGUUGACUAGCUGUGGGGACAUCAGUGCUCAGGUGAAUCAUUUAAAAAAAAAACAAAAAAAAAAAAAACA